GAAGAUGAGGAGGAGAUGGUUUCAUACAUCAUGAUCUGUCUCAACUAUGACUACAAUCCUCUCGUAACCUCUCUUGUGUUGCAAGUGGAACCAAUCUCAGUUGCUGAGCUUUACGCUCAGCUGCUGAAUUUCAAGC